rnacentral:rRNA from 1 species
GACGAACGCUGGCGGCGUGCCUAAUACAUGCAAGUAGAACGCUGAAGGAAGAGCUUGCUUCUCUGGAUGAGUUGCGAACGGGUGAGUAACGCGUAGGUAACCUGCCUGGUAGCGGGGGAUAACUAUUGGAAACGAUAGCUAAUACCGCAUAAUAGUAGAUGUUGCAUGACAUUUGCUUAAAAGGUGCAAUUGCAUCACUACCAGAUGGACCUGCGUUGUAUUAGCUAGUUGGUGAGGUAACGGCUCACCAAGGCAACGAUACAUAGCCGACCUGAGAGGGUGAUCGGCCACACUGGGACUGAGACACGGCCCAGACUCCUACGGGAGGCAGCAGUAGGGAAUCUUCGGCAAUGGACGGAAGUCUGACCGAGCAACGCCGCGUGAGUGAAGAAGGGUUUCGGAUCGUAAAGCUCUGUUGUAAGAGAAGAACGAGUGUGAGAGUGGAAAGUUCACACUGUGACGGUAUCUUACCAGAAAGGGACGGCUAACUACGUG